GGAUGAGGAGGCUCUAGGUUUGCCAGCCCUCAAACCCAUCUUCUCCCUCUGCAUUAGGAGCCCCCCUGCUCUCCGCUCUCUGAAGGUCUGGUUUUUGGAACAAUCCAGGCAUACUCAUCCAAGUUUCACCUUCUGAAAGGAAAGAAAACUGCUGGGAUUGGAAAGCUCAGCUGAAGCUCCUCUACAAUUUUGCACUGCAGACAAGAGACAAUGAGACAGAAAAUUCAAAUGGCC
rnacentral:lncRNA from 1 species